GACGAACGCUGUUGGCGUGCUUAACACAUGCAAGUCGAACGGAAAGGCCCUGCUUUUGUGGGGUGCUCGAGUGGCGAACGGGUGAGUAACACGUGAGUAACCUGCCCUUGACUUUGGGAUAACUUCAGGAAACUGGGGCUAAUACCGGAUAGGAGCUCCUGCUGCAUGGUGGGGGUUGGAAAGUUUCGGCGGUUGGGGAUGGACUCGCGGCUUAUCAGCUUGUUGGUGGGGUAGUGGCUUACCAAGGCUUUGACGGGUAGCCGGCCUGAGAGGGUGACCGGCCACAUUGGGACUGAGAUACGGCCCAGACUCCUACGGGAGGCAGCAGUGGGGAAUAUUGCACAAUGGGCGGAAGCCUGAUGCAGCAACGCCGCGUGCGGGAUGACGGCCUUCGGGUUGUAAACCGCUUUCGCCUGUGACGAAGCGUGAGUGACGGUAAUGGGUGAAGAAGCACCGGCUAACUACGUGCCAGCAGCCGCGGUGAUACGUAGGGUGCGAGCGUUGUCCGGAUUUAUUGGGCGUAAAGGGCUCGUAGGUGGUUGAUCGCGUCGGAAGUGUAAUCUUGGGGCUUAACCCUGAGCGUGCUUUCGAUACGGGUUGACUUGAGGAAGGUAGGGGAGAAUGGAAUUCCUGGUGGAGCGGUGGAAUGCGCAGAUAUCAGGAGGAACACCAGUGGCGAAGGCGGUUCUCUGGGCCUUUCCUGACGCUGAGGAGCGAAAGCGUGGGGAGCGAACAGGCUUAGAUACCCUGGUAGUCCACGCUGUAAACGGUGGGUACUAGGUGUGGGGUCCAUUCCACGGGUUCCGUGCCGUAGCUAACGCUCUAAGUACCCCGCCUGGGGAGUACGGCCGCAAGGCUAAAACUCAAAGGAAUUGACGGGGCCCCGCACAAGCGGCGGAGCAUGCGGAUUAAUUCGAUGCAACGCGUAGAACCUUACCUGGGUUUGACAUGGAUCGGGAGUGCCCAGAGAUGGGUGUGCCUCUUUUGGGGUCGGUUCACAGGUGGUGCAUGGCUGUCGUCAGCUCGUGUCGUGAGAUGUUGGGUUAAGUCCCGCAACGAGCGCAACCCUUGUUCACUGUUGCCAGCACGUUAUGGUGGGGACUCAGUGGAGACCGCCGGGGUCAACUCGGAGGAAGGUGGGGAUGACGUCAAGUCAUCAUGCCCCUUAUGUCCAGGGCUUCACGCAUGCUACAAUGGCUGGUACAGAGAGUGGCGAGCCUGUGAGGGUGAGCGAAUCUCGGAAAGCCGGUCUCAGUUCGGAUUGGGGUCUGCAACUCGACCUCAUGAAGUCGGAGUCGCUAGUAAUCGCAGAUCAGCAACGCUGCGGUGAAUACGUUCCCGGG
rnacentral:rRNA from 1 species